CGCGUAGGCGGCGCGACAAGUCACUUGUGAAAUCUCCGGGCUUAACUCGGAACGGUCAAGUGAAACUGUCAUGCUAGAGUGCAGAAGGGGCAAUCGGAAUUCUUGGUGUAGCGGUGAAAUGCGUAGAUAUCAAGAGGAACACCUGAGGUGAAGACGGGUUGCUGGGCUGACACUGACGCUGAGGCGCAAGGCCAGGGAGCAAACG
rnacentral:rRNA from 1 species